GACGGGGGAUGCAAGUGUUAUCCGGAAUCACUGGGCGUAAAGCGUCUGCAGGUGGUUUCCUAAGUCCACUGUUAAACCUUGAGGCUCAACCUCAAAUCUGCAUUGGAAACUAGGAGACUUGAGUAUAGUAGGGGUAGAGGGAAUUUCCAGUGGAGCGGUGAAAUGCGUAGAUAUUGGAAAGAACACCGAUGGCGAAGGCACUCUACUGGGCUAUUACUAACACUCAGAGACGAAAGCUAGGGUAGCAAAGGGG
rnacentral:rRNA from 1 species